rnacentral:rRNA from 1 species
AAUGGGUCAGCGACUUAUAUUCUGUAGCAAGGUUAACCGAAUAGGGGAGCCGAAGGGAAACCGAGUCUUAACUGGGCGUUAAGUUGCAGGGUAUAGACCCGAAACCCGGUGAUCUAGCCAUGGGCAGGUUGAAGGUUGGGUAACACUAACUGGAGGACCGAACCGACUAAUGUUGAAAAAUUAGCGGAUGACUUGUGGCUGGGGGUGAAAGGCCAAUCAAACCGGGAGAUAGCUGGUUCUCCCCGAAAGCUAUUUAGGUAGCGCCUCGUGAAUUCAUCUCCGGGGGUAGAGCACUGUUUCGGCAAGGGGGUCAUCCCGACUUACCAACCCGAUGCAAACUGCGAAUACCGGAGAAUGUUAUCACGGGAGACACACGGCGGGUGCUAACGUCCGUCGUGAAGAGGGAAACAACCCAGACCGCCAGCUAAGGUCCCAAAGUCAUGGUUAAGUGGGAAACGAUGUGGGAAGGCCCAGACAGCCAGGAUGUUGGCUUAGAAGCAGCCAUCAUUUAAAGAAAGCGUAAUAGCUCACUGGUCGAGUCGGCCUGCGCGGAAGAUGUAACGGGGCUAAACCAUGCACCGAAGCUGCGGCAGCGACGCUUAUGCGUUGUUGGGUAGGGGAGCGUUCUGUAAGCCUGUGAAGGUGUGCUGUGAGGCAUGCUGGAGGUAUCAGAAGUGCGAAUGCUGACAUAAGUAACGAUAAAGCGGGUGAAAAGCCCGCUCGCCGGAAGACCAAGGGUUCCUGUCCAACGUUAAUCGGGGCAGGGUGAGUCGACCCCUAAGGCGAGGCCGAAAGGCGUAGUCGAUGGGAAACAGGUUAAUAUUCCUGUACUUGGUGUUACUGCGAAGGGGGGACGGAGAAGGCUAUGUUGGCCGGGCGACGGUUGUCCCGGUUUAAGCGUGUAGGCUGGUUUUCCAGGCAAAUCCGGAAAAUCAAGGCUGAGGCGUGAUGACGAGGCACUACGGUGCUGAAGCAACAAAUGCCCUGCUUCCAGGAAAAGCCUCUAAGCAUCAGGUAACAUCAAAUCGUACCCCAAACCGACACAGGUGGUCAGGUAGAGAAUACCAAGGCGCUUGAGAGAACUCGGGUGAAGGAACUAGGCAAAAUGGUGCCGUAACUUCGGGAGAAGGCACGCUGAUAUGUAGGUGAAGUCCCUCGCGGAUGGAGCUGAAAUCAGUCGAAGAUACCAGCUGGCUGCAACUGUUUAUUAAAAACACAGCACUGUGCAAACACGAAAGUGGACGUAUACGGUGUGACGCCUGCCCGGUGCCGGAAGGUUAAUUGAUGGGGUCAGCGCAAGCGAAGCUCUUGAUCGAAGCCCCGGUAAACGGCGGCCGUAACUAUAACGGUCCUAAGGUAGCGAAAUUCCUUGUCGGGUAAGUUCCGACCUGCACGAAUGGCGUAAUGAUGGCCAGGCUGUCUCCACCCGAGACUCAGUGAAAUUGAACUCGCUGUGAAGAUGCAGUGUACCCGCGGCAAGACGGAAAGACCCCGU